rnacentral:tRNA from 2 species
AGAUUUUGUAGAUUGGGUUUUCUUUCCUAAAAGGGGAGAAAUGGCUCAAAGACAGUUUGUUGUUCGUGCCAUAGAUAAUCUA